GAUGAACGCUGGCGGCGUGCCUAAUACAUGCAAGUCGAGCGAACAGACGAGGAGCUUGCUCCUCUGACGUUAGCGGCGGACGGGUGAGUAACACGUGGAUAACCUACCUAUAAGACUGGGAUAACUUCGGGAAACCGGAGCUAAUACCGGAUAAUAUAUUGAACCGCAUGGUUCAAUAGUGAAAGACGGUUUUGCUGUCACUUAUAGAUGGAUCCGCGCCGCAUUAGCUAGUUGGUAAGGUAACGGCUUACCAAGGCGACGAUGCGUAGCCGACCUGAGAGGGUGAUCGGCCACACUGGAACUGAGACACGGUCCAGACUCCUACGGGAGGCAGCAGUAGGGAAUUUGCCGCAAGGGGCGAAAGCCUGACGGAGCAACGCCGCGUGAGUGAUGAAGGUCUUCGGAUCGUAAAACUCUGUUAUUAGGGAAGAACAAAUGUGUAAGUAACUAUGCACGUCUUGACGGUACCGAAUCAGAAAGCCACGGCUAACUACGU
rnacentral:rRNA from 1 species